GUGCUUGCUUCAGCAGCACAUUUACUAAAAUUGGAAUGAUACAGAGAUUAGCAUGGCCCCUGCACAAGGAUGACACACAAAUUUGUGAAGCAUUCCAUAUUAAA
rnacentral:snRNA from 1 species